GUCGUCCAUCGCCUCCACAGAGCUGGCCUGGGUGGCCAAAACAGAUCUGGUCACAGUCGGUGGCAGGGGCUGGACGUCCGCGGGCCAGGUCACUUUCAGAGCCACAGAAGCAGGCAUAACCAGCCUCCACACCAGCCAGCUGGGAGCACAGACUGGGUGACCCCAAAGGCAGGGAUGGUGGAUAUGGGUCCCGCCGCGGCUGGCUUGAAUAAGAAAACGCCACUCCCUGACCCUGAUCGCGGGAGACAGACAGGAAUCGUGGACGCUUAGUCCACGACAGGCAGGGGCAGCUGGUGUCUGGGGAGGAAGGCAGCUGCGCCCCCGGUUCCAGCCCGCCCCCUCUCCCGUUUCCAUUUCUUCCACUCCCUAGGACCCCAGCCCAGGCUCUCCGGAGCCUUGCCUUGGCGGAAUUCCCCAAGCGGUGCCCCCCACCUGGAGGGGAGGGGGAGGGGAGCAGGCCCAGGUUGACUUGACCCAGCUCUGACCGUCCUGAGAGCGUUUGCCACCUAACACACGUCCUGAAGCAGAUGGAGAAACAAGAUUCACAGGGAGCAUUCUGAGAGGCCCAAGUGGGAAGGGCGGCUACUGACCUGGGGCUAUGGGUUAUGCUGGUUCUUCGUUGCCCCUCCCUCACAGGAGGCCUGGGAAGGAAAGGUUUCACUUUCGAAGGAUGAGAUGGCUAAACAGAAAGGCCCUGUCCAGUCAUUUGCAAUCAGACUUCGCCUGGUGGUUGCUACACUGACUGACUUGAGGGGGUGUCAGGGGUGUGGGGACCUCUGGGAAGAAGAUCCUGGAGACCCAACAGUAGUUGGUGAGGAACCACCAUGACUUGGUUUCAGAGUCCGCUGGUUUGGAGCAGAAAGGUAGGAACUGUAUCCUGCCCAUUCUCUCGUCCUGCUUCCCCAGACCUCUGACUCUGUCUUCUCUUUCCGCAGGAAAAUUACGGCACCAGCUGGGAGCUGCAAAUGCCUGUGGGGGUCCCAGUUGCUGCUGGUGUCCUGGCCCUCCUGGCCCUCCUGGCGUUGGCUUACCAUUGUCUCAAAGAGGCCUGGAGGUCCAGAUGCCAGCAGCCCUUGCCAUGAGGGCUGGAGGUGUCCUCAAACUGGAGAGAGCUACAGCUUGUCUUCAUCCACAGCCCGGGUCAGGGCCAGCUGGCGACCCUCUCUUCAGAGCCUCAUGGCCCUCUACAGCCUUCCCUACUGUCCCUCUGAAGACCCUACUGGUACCAGGACAGCCCCUCGGCUUUGGGUCUGAAGAGACCUCCGUGUUUCAGAGGAGGUCGUGGUAUUGGCCAAGCACCCUGCACCUGUUAAUGUGGAUGAAGGAUUGAAUCCAUGGGAGGAGGGUAAUGUGGGGUGAGGGCUGGAUCCUCAUCCCUCGGGUGUCAGGCAUGAGGGAGGGGACACACUAGCAGAACUGUCUGUUGUCUCUGGGUUGUGGCAUCAAGGCUUUCUCUCCCCAGAGUCACCUCAAGAAGUCAAGGCCCUGGUUACUCCAUCUUAGCAGUAGCCUGUUCCUCUGGGGGUGCGGUAGGGGUGACACUGUGACCCAAAGGGGAGCCAUGGACUAGAAGCAAAAGCACAAGGCCCUCGCGAGUGGCCAAUGAAUGUCUCAGCAGGCAGAGGAAGCUAUGUCUGACCUCCACUCCCCAAAUCUCUGUCAUUGCCCAGGCAGAGCUUUGGGGUCUCAUGUCCCAGCUGGCUCCUUCCUGGGACCAUGGCAAGGGCCACUGCAAUCUCACCCUUUGUAGUCCCUGAGUUCUCUUGGCUGAGCCCAGGCACCAGAGAAGGCAGGGCCUACUGAAGCACAUCAGGGGUCCCUGGCUGGUGAGCAGUAAGCCUGUGGAACUUUCUGGGUCAGGACACUGCUGCAGGCCCCCUGUGUCCACUGUGACCUGGACUCCUGAGAUCACCCAGGAUCACCUCAUUAUUUUUUUGCUGAGCUUCCCUGGGUCAGGGAGGGUGAAUUAGUAAUGGCAGGUUAGUUAGGCCAUGGCAAGUCGAAUCUGAAAGUGAUUCCUGCCCCUGCUGAUGCACAGGCUCACCAGCCAGUUCUCUGGAGUGUAGACGUAACCCUGCAUGCACCAACACUCUUCUCUGACUAUGUCACACUGUGUGGAGAUGGUGGAGGGAUUGAUGCAGAUUAAUUAUAGUCUCUAAUUAAUUAAACUGUCUCUGAGUUAAGUAAGAGAUGGGGACAGGAACACUGGUGCAUGCCUGUGGUCUAAGCUAAAUGUGGCAGGUUGAGGCAGCAGAAUGACUUGGGUCUAGGACUCAAGGUCAGCCUGGAUAACAAAGCACUGCCUGGCCUUAACUCUCAGUGGGGUCUGCUAUGUAGCUCAGGCAGGCGUGCAAAUUGUUAGGUAGCCCCAUCGGGCCUCAUCUGAGAUCCUCAUACCUUGAUUCCCUGAGUACUGGGACUAUAGGCACAUAGAAUUUGAGACCUUGAUUCUCACCUGCAGAAUAAGAACAAGAUUGGUCUCCCUGGAGUACUGGAUAUCUUCCCGAGCAAGAGGCUGUAGGCUGAGGCAAGUGGAGGAAGGCCUAAAGACCAAGUGGGCCCUGGAGACAUCCUUAAGUACAUCUCUGGUGUCUGGUCCUUAAGUGAGGUAAUCACACCUGACACACACAGCCAGGGAGAGGACCCCAUGGCAGGAACUGUGGAGUCUGCACUGGCGGGCUGAGGAGGGGCCUGAGGAGAAGUGGGUGUGGAAGCCUCCCGUUGCAAGGUGAGUAGUUGGUCUCCAGGUGAGAUGGAAGUAGAGGGAUGGAAAUGUAUAUUAAAUCCCACAGUUGCUGGGCAGUGGUGGCACAUCCUUAACGCCAGCUCUCAGGAGGCAGAGGUAGGUGGAUUUCAGUUUUAGGCCAGGUUGGUCUACAGAGUAAGUUUCAGGACAGCUACCUAGAAGGAGGACUACACAGAGAAACCAUGUUUCAUAAACCCAAAUCAAACCCCACCAUCGAGUUUUUACUUGAAAUCCUUUCUCUCUACCUGGUGCUGAGAUUACAGACAUGUGCCCCAGAGGUGCUGGGAAUCUGACUCAGGUCCUUAUAGCUAUGUAGUAAGCACUUUACUAAGUGGGCCGUUUCCCCAGCCUUCAGACUGUCUUUUUUUGACUGGAGACAAAUCUCAGGUGGAGGCCCAGGAUGGCUGGUAAUCAGAGCCAGUUAAUGACGAAGAUGAAAAGUGGGGAGUUGCCUGCCCAGGAGGUGCCCAGCGUCUCAAGAGGCAAACCUGGCCUUUGCUUGGGAUACCACUUUCAUCUGUGGCUCUCACUUGGGGUACCGCUUCCAUUUGUGGCUCACUUGGGGCACUGCUUCCAUUUGUGGCUCACUAUAACUCAUUCUCAUGAGCUCAGAAGAACUCAAGCUGAGAGGUAGUACAUGGCCCACUCUUCAAGCCUUCCCCAGGGCUGGGGAUAGCUCCUCAGCAGGUCCCCUCCAAGUCUUGAUCUAGGCCAAGCAAACACCAUUGCCCAUGAGUUACCAACCAAAUCCACAAUGUCCCCAGCACUUGGCAGGCGGUAUGUGGUUUGUGGCAGCGCAGACUAUUACUGACACACAGCAGCUCUGUACCAUGAGACUACACAGGGUUUAUUGAGGGAAUCAGAUGAGCAGAAGACAGCGGCAGGCACCAGGCCAUUACUAUCCCACAGGGGUGGCUGUUCCACGGCUUGUUUGCUAAGGGAGAGGAGCAUGCAGCUCUAUGACAUGAUGAGGACAGCUCUGGCCAGGGUGCAGCACGCAGGAAAUUCUGCCGUUCCUGGGGACAUUAGAGUGCCACUGCUGGCAUGGCUCCUGAGUCCUGCUAAACUCUUCUACAGGAGGUGGCUUUGAUGCCAUCUAACUGACCUGGUGCAUCAUGCGACACCAGGUGAGCAACCCUCAGUGGUGCCGCUGCCACUAGAGCAUGCCUACAUGGUGUCACCUCCUCCUGACAUCUGGGCUGGCUCCCAAGAACUGUGGACACAGGUUUAAGUUGGGAAAGAACGCAGGGUGCCAAGUCUGCCAGGGAGGUAGAGCGAAGCCUUUAGCCUGUUCCGCUCUGCCACAGUCAGAGCUGGGUGAGCCUUAGCAAGCAGCAAGAGACUAAAGAGCAGGCAGGCCUCACACCUGCCCCUAAAAGAUGCCACAAAGCAAAACAAACCCUGCUGUGACUUGCACUGUCUUCAGAGGGUGGCAAGAAGUUCCUGCACAUAUCCUGGCUUGGGGUGACUGCAUUUUGCUGAACUUCAUGGAGCGCACACGGGAUCACGCCCACUGGAAAGCUCUGAGCAAGGCAGUGUGCUCUGAAAGCAGAUGGUGCUGAGGCCUGGAGAGCAGAGCAGGGCAGAGGUAUAUCAUCCAGACACAGUUCUCCACAGCUGUCUAAGGUCAGGAUGGUAAGAGCAGCAUGGGACAGGCCUGCAGGCCACCCAUCCAGCUUGGUUACCACCCAAAGUCCAAGCACUCCUCCUGGGAGACCUCUGAGGAAAUGUGACAGUCCUGGGUGCUUUGGAAGAGUUGUCAUCAAGUGCAUCUGAAGGAUGGGAAACGCCUGCAAGGAUGGGAAGCAUUUGGGGUGCCAGCUGCUCCUCUGUUGCUCCAGAGAAGACUCACUUCAGCAGGACUGGCUGCUCAGUUUUUGCUCUUUGAUUUUCCUGAUGACAGAGAAAUGUGCAUCAUUACAAAGGUUUAUUUAAGCCAGGCAUGGUGGUGCACACCUUUAAUCCCAGCACUUGGGAGGCAGAGGCUGGUGGAUCUUUGUUUAUGGUUAGCCUGGUCUACAGAGUGAGUUCUAGGACAGCCAGGGCUAUACAGAGAAACCCUGUCUCAAAAAAUAAACAAACAAAACGCUAAAGGU
rnacentral:lncRNA from 1 species